rnacentral:rRNA from 1 species
UAGUCCACGCCGUAAACGAUGUCUACUAGCCGUUGGGGUACUUGAGACCUUAGUGGCGCAGCUAACGCACUAAGUAGACCGCCUGGGGAGUACGGCCGCAAGGUUAAAACUCAAAUGAAUUGACGGGGGCCCGCACAAGCGGUGGAGCAUGUGGUUUAAUUCGAUGCAACGCGAAGAACCUUACCAGGUCUUGACAUACAGAGAACUUUCCAGAGAUGGAUUGGUGCCUUCGGGAACUCUGAUACAGGUGCUGCAUGGCUGUCGUCAGCUCGUGUCGUGAGAUGUUGGGUUAAGUCCCGCAACGAGCGCAACCCUUGUCUUUAGUUGCCAUCAUUUAGUUGGGCACUCUAGAGAAACUGCCGGUGACAAACCGGAGGAAGGUAAGGAUGACGUCAAGUCAGCAUGCCCCUUACGCUCUGGGCUACACACGUGCUACAAUGGUCGUGACAAAGAGUUGCUAGUCUGCGAAGGCAAGCCGAUCUCAUAAACGCGGCCUUAGUUCGG